rnacentral:SRP_RNA from 1 species
GCCAGGCAUGGUGGUGGGUGCCUGUAAUCCCAGCUACUCAGGAGGCUGAGGCAGGAGAAUUGCUUGAACCCAGGAGGUGGAGUUGCAGUGAGCCAAGAUCUCGCCACUGCACUCCAGCCUGGGCGACAGAGUGAGACUCUGUCUCAG